CGAACGCUGGCGGCGUGCUUAACACAUGCAAGUCGAACGGAAAGGCCCUGCUUUUGUGGGGUGCUCGAGUGGCGAACGGGUGAGUAACACGUGAGUAACCUGCCCUUGACUUUGGGAUAACUUCAGGAAACUGGGGCUAAUACCGGAUAGGAGCUCCUGCUGCAUGGUGGGGGUUGGAAAGUUUCGGCGGUUGGGGAUGGACUCGCGGCUUAUCAGCUUGUUGGUGGGGUAGUGGCUUACCAAGGCUUUGACGGGUAGCCGGCCUGAGAGGGUGACCGGCCACAUUGGGACUGAGAUACGGCCCAGACUCCUACGGGAGGCAGCAGUGGGGAAUAUUGCACAAUGGGCGGAAGCCUGAUGCAGCAACGCCGCGUGCGGGAUGACGGCCUUCGGGUUGUAAACCGCUUUCGCCUGUGACGAAGCGUGAGUGACGGUAAUGGGUAAAGAAGCACCGGCUAACUACGUGCCAGCAGCCGCGGUGAUACGUAGGGUGCGAGCGUUGUCCGGAUUUAUUGGGCGUAAAGGGCUCGUAGGUGGUUGAUCGCGUCGGAAGUGUAAUCUUGGGGCUUAACCCUGAGCGUGCUUUCGAUACGGGUUGACUUGAGGAAGGUAGGGGAGAAUGGAAUUCCUGGUGGAGCGGUGGAAUGCGCAGAUAUCAGGAGGAACACCAGUGGCGAAGGCGGUUCUCUGGGCCUUUCCUGACGCUGAGGAGCGAAAGCGUGGGGAGCGAACAGGCUUAGAUACCCUGGUAGUCCACGCUGUAAACGGUGGGUACUAGGUGUGGGGUCCAUUCCACGGGUUCCGUGCCGUAGCUAACGCUUUAAGUACCCCGCCUGGGGAGUACGGCCGCAAGGCUAAAACUCAAAGGAAUUGACGGGGCCCCGCACAAGCGGCGGAGCAUGCGGAUUAAUUCGAUGCAACGCGUAGAACCUUACCUGGGUUUGACAUGGAUCGGGAGUGCUCAGAGAUGGGUGUGCCUCUUUUGGGGUCGGUUCACAGGUGGUGCAUGGCUGUCGUCAGCUCGUGUCGUGAGAUGUUGGGUUAAGUCCCGCAACGAGCGCAACCCUUGUUCACUGUUGCCAGCACGUUAUGGUGGGGACUCAGUGGAGACCGCCGGGGUCAACUCGGAGGAAGGUGGGGAUGACGUCAAGUCAUCAUGCCCCUUAUGUCCAGGGCUUCACGCAUGCUACAAUGGCUGGUACAGAGAGUGGCGAGCCUGUGAGGGUGAGCGAAUCUCGGAAAGCCGGUCUCAGUUCGGAUUGGGGUCUGCAACUCGACCUCAUGAAGUCGGAGUCGCUAGUAAUCGCAGAUCAGCAACGCUGCGGUGAAUACGUUCCCGGGGCUUGUACACACCGCCCGUCAAGUCAUGAAAGUUGGUAACACCCGAAGCCGGUGGCCUAACCGUUGUGGGGGAGCCGUCGAAGGUGGGACUGGUGAUUAGGACU
rnacentral:rRNA from 1 species